rnacentral:rRNA from 1 species
GACGAACGCUGGCGGCGUGCUUAACACAUGCAAGUCGAACGGAAAGGCCCUGCUUUUGUGGGGUGCUCGAGUGGCGAACGGGUGAGUAACACGUGAGUAACCUGCCCUUGACUUUGGGAUAACUUCAGGAAACUGGGGCUAAUACCGGAUAGGAGCUCCUGCUGCAUGGUGGGGGUUGGAAAGUUUCGGCGGUUGGGGAUGGACUCGCGGCUUAUCAGCUUGUUGGUGGGGUAGUGGCUUACCAAGGCUUUGACGGGUAGCCGGCCUGAGAGGGUGACCGGCCAAAUUGGGACUGAGGUAAGGCCCAGAAUGCUACGGGAGGCAGGAGUGGGGAAUAUUGCAAAAUGGGCGGAAGCCUGAUGCAGCAACGCCGCGUGCGGGAUAACGGCCUUCGGGUUGUAAACCGCUUUCGCCUGUGACGAAGCGUGAGUGACGGUAAUGGGUAAAGAAGCACCGGCUAACUACGUG